GUAAUAGGGGCAAGUGAGUACUUCUAAACACAAUAUACAUAUAGAAUAAUUACCACAUAUAAGCAUUAGAAUACUUUUUUUUUUUUUUGAGACACCUAGGCUGUCACCUAGGCUGUCACCUAGGCUGGAAUGCAGUGGCAUGAUCCCAGCUCCCUGCAACCUCCACCUCCCAGCUUCAAGUGAUUCUUGUGCCUCAGCCACCCAAAUAGCUGGAACUACAGCAUGCACCACCACACCAGGCUAAUUUUGUAUUUAACUCCUGACCUCAAGCAAUCUGCCUCUCUCAGCCUCCCAAAGUGUUGGGAUUACAGGCGUGAGCCAUCAUACCCAGCCUACUUUUUAAAAGAUAAAGGCCCUAUAAGCUUUACAUCAAAGCUGAAUGACCAUACAAUUUGAUCCAUCUUUUAAAAGCAUUAAUUUAUAGCUCUGAAAUAAAUAUCAGUAACAUCUUUGGCAUAACUCUAUAGA
rnacentral:lncRNA from 1 species